AGAGAAAUUUAGAUAUUUUAUUAAACUUGGAUGUCAUUAAUUCCAUAUAAAGCAAUGCUAAGACAGUCAGCAUGUGUUACUGAUGUGUUGCUGAAGAUUAAAGUAUUUUUAAGUCUCACAAAAAAGGUGGAAGGAGCCAACUGAGACACAAAAAAGGGGCUGAGGUUCUAUUCACGGCUUUAUCUACCAAGAAAUGAAUUGGAUAAUCCACAUCAACAAAAAGCAUGGAAAAUUUAUCCACCAGAAUUUGCCGUGGAGAUAAUUUUUGGUAAGAAAUGACUUCCAAUGACGUUGUAGCUGGAUCCGAUUAAGUAUAGCUCCCCCUUCCCCUUCUGGGAAAGAAUUAUGUUCUUUUGAACCCGGCCACAUAUUCAUAUAUCCUAAAUCUUCCUUGAUGAUAUAUUUAUAUAUGUUUAUAUAUGUUCUUCAUAAAUCUACUAAAUAUAUAUAGAUAAAA
rnacentral:sRNA from 1 species